rnacentral:rRNA from 1 species
GAUGAACGCUGGCGGCGUGCUUAACACAUGCAAGUCGAACGGUGAACACGGAGCUUGCUCUGUGGGAUCAGUGGCGAACGGGUGAGUAACACGUGAGCAACCUGCUCCUGACUCUGGGAUAAGCGCUGGAAACGGCGUCUAAUACUGGAUAUGUGACGUGACCGCAUGGUCUGCGUUUGGAAAGAUUUUUCGGUUGGGGAUGGGCUCGCGGCCUAUCAGCUUGUUGGUGAGGUAAUGGCUCACCAAGGCGUCGACGGGUAGCCGGCCUGAGAGGGUGACCGGCCACACUGGGACUGAGACACGGCCCAGACUCCUACGGGAGGCAGCAGUGGGGAAUAGUGCACAAUGGGCGCAAGCCGGAUGCAGCAACGCCGCGUGAGGGAUGACGGCCUUCGGGUUGUAAACCUCUUUUAGCAGGGAAGAAGCGAAAGUGACGGUACCUGCAGAAAAAGCGCCGGCUAACUACGU